rnacentral:rRNA from 1 species
GAUGAACGCUGGCGGCGUGCCUAAUACAUGCAAGUCGAGCGAACGGACGAGAAGCUUGCUUCUCUGAUGUUAGCGGCGGACGGGUGAGUAACACGUGGAUAACCUACCUAUAAGACUGGGAUAACUUCGGGAAACCGGAGCUAAUACCGGAUAAUAUUUUGAACCGCAUGGUUCAAAAGUGAAAGACGGUCUUGCUGUCACUUAUAGAUGGAUCCGCGCUGCAUUAGCUAGUUGGCAAGGUAACGGCUUACCAAGGCAACGAUGCAUAGCCGACCUGAGAGGGUGAUCGGCCACACUGGAACUGAGACACGGUCCAGACUCCUACGGGAGGCAGCAGUAGGGAAUCUUCCGCAAUGGGCGAAAGCCUGACGGAGCAACGCCGCGUGAGUGAUGAAGGUCUUCGGAUCGUAAACCUCUUUUAUUAGGGAAGAACAUAUGUGUAAGUAACUGUGCACAUCUUGACGUUACCUAAUCAGAAAGCCACGGCUAACUACGUG